GUUCCUAAACUUGUGAAAAUCUCCAACCAAGCUACACCUGAAAACUGAUCAGAUCGCAUAAUCUCAAUCUCUAAAGCCAAUAGUUGCAUAAUGAAGUUGUUCGACCAAAACGUGAACAAUUCUAUUUUGAGGAAAGAAAAUUGCAAACAGGAACUAGAAAAUUAAAGGCUGAACGCACUGGUCCACCAAAACGUGCUUCAAAUGCCUCUUUCACAAUGGGUCCAUACUAACCCCUCGAAUCCUCGAUUUCCCCAACCCAUUGGAUUCCCACUCAAACUCACCAAAGACAACUAUUUACUCUGGAAAGAUGUGCUCACCCUAGUUCUACAACACUAUUGACAUGUUCAGCUUUGUUGAUGGCUCAGAGCAAUGUCCAACCCCUCAGCUCAACAACCAAGUCAAUCCAGCUCACUCUCAAUGGCUCAAGAAAGAUAGGGCAUGUCGCAUUUGGCUCAUCAUCGCAUUUCCAAGCUAAUUGCCCGGAUACCGUUCAAUAGCUUGCGGGGGCAUAAUGAAACCAUGAUCAAGCCACAUCAGCAAGACCACAUGACUAGUGAUAAAGAUGCACACAUGGAGAGCAAUCCCAAGCUUACAGCCAAGAAUGGCGUGCAACAAAGGCAGGGCAUGCACUGCACAAGUCUGCACAUCCUUCACAUGCAAAGACUAUCACCAACUCUGUACAUGUAAUAGUACCAUAAUUCAAAAUAUCUCAUAGGUCUGCACCAGUCUAAAAUCCUAUGUAGGCUUGUAUAAAUAUAUGUAUCACUAUUCAAUGUAAAUUAAUCGAGGCGCUUCAUUAUAAUACACAAUUACCUUUCUCCAUC